AUGCACGCUGGCGGCGUGCCUAAUACAUGCCAGUCGAGCGAACAGACGAGGAGCUUGCUCCUCUGACGUUAGCGGCGGACGGGUGAGUAACACGUGGAUAACCUACCUAUAAGACUGGGAUAACUUCGGGAAACCGGAGCUAAUACCGGAUAAUAUAUUGAACCGCAUGGUUCAAUAGUGAAAGACGGUUUUGCUGUCACUUAUAGAUGGAUCCGCGCCGCAUUAGCUAGUUGGUAAGGUAACGGCUUACCAAGGCAACGAUGCGUAGCCGACCUGAGAGGGUGAUCGGCCACACUGGAACUGAGACACGGUCCAGACUCCUACGGGAGGCAGCAGUAGGGAAUCUUCCGCAAUGGGCGAAAGCUUGACGGAGCAACGCCGCGUGAGUGAUGAAGGUCUUCGGAUCGUAAAACUCUGUUAUUAGGGAAGAACAAAUGUGUAAGUAACUAUGCACGUCUUGACGGUACCUAAUCAGAAAGCCACGGCUAACUACGUG
rnacentral:rRNA from 1 species